ACACACGCACAAGAUCAUGGACGCUGCUCAAACAUAGUACACACAUGAAAGAGGAAAAAGAAAAGAGAGAUAUAAACACGGUGGUGGCAUUUAAUUUUCUUGUGCAGUCAGGCUCGACAGUGCUAUUGUAGUAUUGAAUUGAAUACUUUUCUUUAGUUCCCAUUACAGUUGGAGGUUUGUAUCAUUUGGUGAGAAAUGAAACAGCGUUAGUUUUUAUCAUCAUACGUACGUGUGGUAGAGAGGGGAUGUAUAAUUCUGCUACUCAUGGAGCAUGUUAUUAUGAGAGACCAGUUGGCUUUGCAGAAUUCAGUGUGAUCUUACACCAAUCAUUUCUCCUGUGCAUUGAUGCCAUAUAAACCAGCUCGUAGAAUCUGAUCUGGUGGAAACUUUUGGUUGCUCAUUUGAGAUUUGAUUUCUGAAGAGAAACUAGUGUAAUUAAACAUUCUUACAGAAAUACUACAAAACUGCAGGUGUACUGCUUAGUAUGUAGAAAUAUUUGGCAACAUUAGAAUUCAAUCCUGUACGUACGUUUGAGGAGCCAUUGGAAGCUUAGCUAUAAAUAGUCUGGUAAGUAUUAGUACCAAGGUAUGGAAGGACUACAUUGAAUUAGUUAUCAUUAGUCCAUACCUCCUGAUAACAUAUAGAACAUCCAUUAUUUUAGAAAAAAGGGCAAAUUGUUUUAUUGAGGAGUUUUAAACUAUUUUUACCAGUUUCUAAUGAGGAAUUAUAAUUCAUCUUUGUAUUGUAUGUCAUUUUUUCUUUAUAUUCAAGAUGGAUUGUAUAUUUUUUUUCAUUUAAAAAAAUACAAUGUAUAAAUAAUAAUUGCAAUCGAUCAAUAAAGGAGUAUGCAUGCUAAAGAUAUUAUUAAGCAAAAUAUCUAAAAUAAUAUUUCAGAAAAUGUUUAUUGCAUGAUAUGGUGGUGUAGUCAUUUAAUAAGUGUUUAACACAGACGCUGUGUUGGUUGUUUGUACCUUGUUUUAGUACAUUAUACAUGAAUGAAUAGAGCAUACACAGGAUUCAAGUAUCUCUUGUGGCUAAAUUAGUUGUUAUUGAGUAAAGUGACUGCAUUUCAUAAUUGGCUUUGCUGAAAAAAAAUGAAUUAGAUAAAUAAUUUUGACUGAAGAUUUUCAUAAGUCAGAUAGUUUAAGUCAGUGAUAUCUCAAAGUAAAAUGAAAGUGUUGCUACAAAGAGAGUACUCAUUAAAGUAGACCUGCCGGAAAAGUGAAACUAGCCGGGGUGACAAAUCUUCUUAUGGACACUGCAUUAAACUGAACCUGUUGACUACCGGAAGCAUGUGGGCCCUGUACAAGGCUAUGGGAAUGACAGAAUUUAGCAGUCAAGAGGUUAAAACAGAAGAAACUGGAAGCAAGAAUAAUGGUCACGAUGUCUGAACUAUUGAGAAAAAAAAGGCUAAAGAUGAGUUGAAGAAAGGGAGAAAAAAAAGUACUCAUAAAAGGCGUCCUUCAUGGAAAUGGACAAGAUGUACAUACCCAUGCUGCCAUGGCAAUCAAGGUGUGUUCCAAGCUUCCAUAGCAGCCAAUAUGAGGUUUUCAGGAGCACUAGUACUGGAAGGACACUCGGCAGGACAUUUACUAAUCUUGGGAUAGGACAAAAUUUGAUUUUAUUCUUAAGACAAGUAUUGUUGUUUCAUAAAAACAAAUAUAUAUGUAAUGUCUGUUUGGAGCUGUUAAUGAGUCGAAUCAGUUAAAAUGUAGUUAACACAAUUCAGGUUCUGAAUGAACAAUAUAGUAUACAAGAUUUUAUAUACUUCUUUAUUUUCAAGAAAUUUGAAAUUGAUCACAUUUAAAAAAUCUAUUUGCUUGAUUGAAAUACAAUCUUUGCAUUUAUUUCAUUACAUUGGUUUUUCCUUUUAUAAAGCAUGAUCUCAUUAAUUGCUAUUAAAUCAAAUUUGUUGUAUUAAUUUAUAAUUUGUUGAUGUACAUGACACCUUAUCAAUCUGCAAUAUUUCAUAUAGGAUAUUGUUGCUGCUUUAUAUAGUUAGUACUUAGUACUGUUUUGCCUGUAUCUCAAUAUAACAAAUAAUACACAGGAGUGAGAGGACAAUGCUUUAUUAAGAAUUCGGGGAAGGGGUGUUGAUCCUUACAUAUAGUUUUUUUUAAGUCUUCAUAAGAAUAUAAGAUAAUAAUUCAGAGAUGCUUCAUUCAGUUGAUAAUGUGAUGAGUCUUGCAGUGUGUAUUCUUGUGAAUUAAUGUGAAUAAAAAAGUUUACUCCAAAGUAAUUUAUUAUGUAUUGUAUUUCCAACUUUCCAUUCUUUAUGUGUUUUGUCUUUACUUUGUAAAAUAUAUAUCAAAUAAAAUCAUUUUUUCAUUUCUCCUGUCUCAUUCUGUCUUCUGUUAACAAAGAGUGCUUCAGAAAACAUCCUCUGUAACUUCCCCAUGAUACUGGACAUAUAGAGGAUGGGGGGGGGGGGUCUGUUUAUGAUAAAUUCUUUUGGUAAUUUUCUAUUCAAUUAUUGGUGAAAAAAAAAUUCUAUUCAAUUAUUGGUGACAUUUUUUUUCAUUUUGCUCACUCCCAUUUUCAAGGGCGGUUUGGGCAUUAUUUUCCUCUCUUUUUAGAGGGUGGGGGGCUGCUCCUAUUCCCUGUCUAUUAAUUACCAAUAUGGCAUUUAUUUCAUAAUGCAAAUAUUUAGAACUGGAUGCUGGAAUUCUGCAUUUAGCAUGAUAUUUUAUUCCAAUUUUCAUGUGGUACAGGUCGAGCAGGGGGCAGAAUAAAGAAAAACAUGCAUAUGGUAUUACCAGCAACUAUAAUAUAUAUGAGCCAUAUGGACAGUCCUUGGAGUAAUGAGAUUUGAUAUUUUGAUUUCCAAAUACCUGUUUAAAUUAAUUUUUCUUUAAAUGUGAAAAGAAGUAUAAAUUUUAAAAAGUUUGAAAAUUCAAUAUUCCUGAGAUAUUGUCUUUAUGACCUCUUCAUUCUUUUAGAUUGAAAUAUGCAAGAAUCCACAUUACAAUAAUUGCAUCAGUAUCAUGCAUGGACAUAUUGAAAAUGAAUUCAUACAUUUUUAGAUUUAAGGAGAAUUUAUUUAAAUUCCAUACUUGUGAAGAAUUUCAAGUAAGUUAUGUAUAGUAAUAUAAGCCAUAGUAAUGAAUUAAUAGUUUUCUGAGAGGUAUGUUAUGAUUGAGGCUCCUAUGAAGGAGUAGAUUAGAUUGCACAAAAAUGAGGUUAUUGAAAAGACAUUGCCUUCUUGGAAUUUUACUAUUUCGUUGGAUAUAUCUCUCAUGCAUGACUAUGAAUAAAUAUGCAUUACUUUAUAUAUGCCUGCUGACCCUUUCUUGUGGUAAAUGCCAUAACCCUAAUUUUCAUAAGUGUUGCUUUAGCUCCAAAAGAUAAGUGUCACCAGUUGUAAAGUCACUUGGUUACUUACAAAAAGCUUUAUGAAGCACCCACCAGAUCCAUUAUAGUAGUUCUAUGAUACUUCGGCGUGUGGUGUACCCAUUUAUGUUUGUAGGGAGACCUUAUUACACAUUUUUAUUAGGAUAUGCACCUGCACAUAGUGUUUGAAGUUCAUGCCUUUGUGGUAUUAACUGUACUUGAAAGUCUUCUUUUCUGAUUUGACAUGGGGGUUAGCCAUAUUGUGUUCCAAUUAUUCUUAGUUGAAAUAUUGGUAAAUAUAAGAGGAUCAAAUAUGUACAGUGUAUUUUUGAUAUAAAAUUAAAUAAGAACACUCAAAUUCAAUGUAUUCUAAUUAUUCUUAGUUGAAAUAUUGGUAAAUAUAAGAGGAUCAAAUAUGUACAGUGUAUUUUUAAUAUGAAAUUAAAUAAGAACACUCAAAUUCAAUGGACCCCAGGAACCGGACAUGGUGGCUCGGUGGUAGAGCGCCUAGCUGCCUCGUGAACAGAGGUUGUGGGUUCGGUCCCCAGCAAAAUCAUAUCAAAGACAUAUAUAACUUGACCUGCUUUCAUGACGGGUGCUCAACAAAUUGAAGUAGAGAAGGGUGUUAACACAUGCAGGGGCUGGGAGAACAGUUCACUAGAGCUGACGUGGCUCCCGCAGACUGAAUAUUCUGCUGUGAACGGUAAAGUGAAUAUUUCAUGAAAAGAAGAGGGAAACCAUUGGAACAUUGAACUUUUGAAAAUCUGUUCCUUUCCUAUACACUCCACUGAACUCAUUUUUACUGAUUUGAAAACAUGUUCCUGGUUGUGCUAUUGGUGGAGAAUAUGUCGUAGGAUUUACAGGUAUAUGGGUUAUGCAGGACAAUUGCCCAAUUAAAUAUUAAUUCUCUCAUACUUUGAACUUUAGUCAAGCUAAUGGAUGUAUCUUAUGGUUAAUGUUUAUAUUUUUUAUCUACUCGAGUGCAUUGUAAAAAGUUUGCGUUUAUGAUAGGUAAUUGUGAUAAUUGGAGGAAAUCUUACUUUGGUGCCUUGUGCAAAAUUAUGCAUUGUUAUAAUGUUAUGUAUAUCAAUGCAACAAAAAUAUGGACUUUGCUACCUGCCGAUUGUACUUAUCAUAAAAUAUAUUAUAAAGUAAUCAAGAUAAAGAACCACUAUACUUGUAUAUGCUGACUGAACAUAAAGUAGAAGUAGGGUGCAUGUUUCAACUUGCAUCCAUUGUGC